ACAGCAGCCGCCGCGGUAAUACGUAGGUGGCAAGCGUUGUCCGGAAUUAUUGGGCGUAAAGGGCUCGCAGGCGGUUUCUUAAGUCUGAUGUGAAAGCCCCCGGCUCAACCGUGGAGGGUCAUUGGAAACUGGGAAACUUGAGUGCAGAAGAGGAGAGUGGAAUUCCACGUGUAGCGGUGAAAUGCGUAGAGAUGUGGAGGAACACCAGUGGCGAAGGCGACUCUCUGGUCUGUAACUGACGCUGAGGAGCGAAAGCGUGGGGAGCGAACAGGAUUAGAUACCCCAGUAGUCCCUGUCUCUUAUAA
rnacentral:rRNA from 1 species